GCGCUUAGCUCAGUUGGUAGAGCGUCUGCCUUACAAGCAGAAUGUCGGCGGUUCGAUCCCCGUCCGCUGCGCCA
rnacentral:tRNA from 1 species